rnacentral:rRNA from 1 species
UACGGGGGGAGCAAGCGUUGUUCGGAUUUACUGGGCGUAAAGGGCGCGUAGGCGGCCUCUGCAAGUCGACUGUGAAAUCUCCGGGCUUAACCCGGAAAGGUCAGCCGAUACUGCAGGGCUAGAGUGCAGAAGGGGCAACCGGAAUUCUCGGUGUAGCGGUGAAAUGCGUAGAUAUCGAGAGGAACACCUGCGGCGAAGGCGGGUUGCUGGGCUGACACUGACGCUGAGGCGCGAAAGCUAGGGGAGCGAACGGG